AUCCAGCUGACGAGCCUCAAUUAGGACGAAAUACGCAUCCUGGAU
rnacentral:hammerhead_ribozyme from 1 species